GGGAAAUAACACACACGCACAAAGCUCACUCCUUUGGCUGUCCCGGGACGGACAUACUGAUCUGCUGCUUAAAGUCCUUUUCAAUGGGGUUUGAAUACUUAGGACAUUUUGAGGAACCCUAAAUGAAAGUCAUAAAGCUGCCUUCCAGUAAAUACACAGACCUUAUUUAGGCUCAUCACAUUCCAGAGCCAGAUGUUAGUAAGUCAAAUAUUCUGCACUGCAGAUGGCUGGGAAAAAUGUCGGAACAGCGAUGGGAAUAAUCUGCAUCAAUGAAAUACUUGUUUUCUGCUUUCACGUGGGAGAAUAAUUAAAGAAUGUGAAAUAUGUAA